GGGGAAUUGUUCGCAAUGGGCGCAAGCCUGACGACGCAACGCCGCGUGAGGGAUGAAGAUUCUCGGAUCGUAAACCUCUGUCGAGCGGGACGAAACCCGCGCGGGUGAAUAGCCCGUGCGGUUGACGGUACCGUUAAAGGAAGCCCCGGCUAACUCCGUGCCAGCAGCCGCGGUAAUACGGGGGGGGCAAGCGUUGUUCGGAAUUACUGGGCGUAAAGGGCGCGUAGGCGGCCGCCUAAGUCGGACGUGAAAUCCCUCGGCUCAACUGAGGAACUGCGUCCGAGACUGGGUGGCUGGAAUCCGGGAGAGGGAUGUGGAAUUCCAGGUGUAGCGGUGAAAUGCGUAGAUAUCUGGAGGAACACCGGUGGCGAAGGCGGCAUCCUGGACCGGUAUUGACGCUGAUGCGCGAAAGCCAGGGGAGCAAA
rnacentral:rRNA from 1 species